CUGGGGCUCGCUGCAUCCUGGUUCCCGUCGUACCGUGGACGCCGGGGCUCGCAGCGUGGCGGCCGCAGGAGCUGAGGGAGUCGGCCGCGCUUGCGCGGGGAGUGUCUUUUCGUCUCCGGGCGGCGGCAGCAGCGCGUGUGUCCGGAACUUUUCUGGGACUAAGUCCUGCACCCACGAGUAGAAAACGGCUCCUGGGAGCUUGGGGCUCCAAG
rnacentral:lncRNA from 1 species